AGCGGUGGAUCACUUGGCUCGUGGAUCGAUGAAGAACGCAGCUAGCUGCGAUAAAUAGUGCGAAUUGCAGACGCAUUGAGCACAAAGAUUUCGAACGCACAAUGCACCAUCGGGUUGAUUCCCGAUGGUACGUCUGGUUGAGGGUCAA
rnacentral:rRNA from 1 species